UCAAUUUUUUGGAGUAUUUCCCAGAAGUGACUGCUGCCUGUGUAUUUAACUUUCUUGAGCUUUUCAUUCCUGUAAAGCAUUAGUCUGCCAAAUUGUAAUGUGGACCUAUGUAUAAUUGUGGACUUGUCGCAUCAGAGGAGCUGUCCCCAAAUGAUCACAAACUGAGAACCAACCAGCAACUACAGGUAUGAAACUGUUUCAUCCAUUAGUAAAACAAUGUUGAG